AACGAACGCUGGCGGCAUGCCUAACACAUGCAAGUCGAACGAGACCUUCGGGUCUAGUGGCGCACGGAUGCGUAACGCGUGGGAACCUGCCCUUAGGUUCGGAAUAACUCCCCGAAAGGGGUGCUAAUACCGGAUAAUGUCUUCGGACCAAAGAUUUAUCGCCUUUGGAUGGGCCCGCGUUGGAUUAGCUAGUUGGUAGGGUAAAAGCCUACCAAGGCGACGAUCCAUAGCUGGUCUGAGAGGAUGAUCAGCCACACUGGGACUGAGACACGGCCCAGACUCCUACGGGAAGCAGCAGUGGGGAAUAUUGGACAAUGGGCGAAAGCCUGAUCCAGCAAUGCCGCGUGAGUGAUGAAGGCCUUAGGGUUGUAAAGCUCUUUUACCCGGGAUGAUAAUGACAGUACCGGGAGAAUAAGCUCCGGCUAACUCCGUG
rnacentral:rRNA from 1 species